rnacentral:rRNA from 1 species
UGAUCCUACGGGGGGCAGCAGUGGGGAAUAUUGGGCAAUGGGCGCAAGCCUGACCCAGCAACGCCGCGUGAAGGAAGAAGGCUUUCGGGUUGUAAACUUCUUUUGACAGGGAAGAGCAGAAGACGGUACCUGUCGAAUAAGCCACGGCUAACUACGUGCCAGCAGCCGCGGUAAUACGUAGGUGGCGAGCGUUAUCCGGAAUGAUUGGGCGUAAAGGGUGCGUAGGCGGCCUGCUAAGUCUGGAGUGAAAGGUACCGGCUCAACCGGUACAGGCUCUGGAAACUGGCGGGCUAGAGAGCAGGAGG